rnacentral:tRNA from 1 species
GGGGGUGUGGCUCAGUGGAAGAGCACUUGCCUAGUAUGCAGAAGACCCUAGAUUCAAUUCCCAAGUGCCACCC